rnacentral:rRNA from 1 species
AAUGAACGCUGGCGGCAUGCCUAACACAUGCAAGUCGAACGGCACCACCGUAAGUGCUUGCUCUUACGGGUGUCGCGUGGCGGAAGGGUGACUAAUACAUCGGAUUCCUCUUUUUCGUGGGUGCUAACGUAGGGAAACUUCUGCUAACACCGCAUAUGUCCCACGUGUGAAAGCAGGGGUUCUUCGGACCUUUUGCUAUUGUAUUAGCCCACGUCGGAUUAGCUAGUUGGCGGGGUAAAGGCCGACCAAGGCGACGCUCCGGAGCUGGCCUGAGAGGGUGAUCAGCCACACUGGAACUGAGACGAGGUCCAGACUCCUACGGGAGGAAGCAGGGGGGAAAAUUGGACAAUGGGCGGAAGUCGGAAACAGCGAAAACGCGGGGGUGAAGAAGGCCAUCGGGUUGGAAAGACCUAUUAUGGGGGAAGAAAAGCAGAGGGUUUAUACCCGGCAGGACUGACGGUACACAAAGAGAAAGAGCCGGCUAAAUUCGUG